CUUGGGCCGCUCCUGCGGCAUGUGGAGGUUCCCAAGCUAGGGGUUGAAUCGGAGCUGUAGCCACCGGCCUAUGCCAGGGCCACAGCAAUGCGGGAUCCGAGCCGAGUCUGCAACCUACACCACAGCUCGAGGCAACGCCGGAUCGUUAACCCACUGAGCAAGGGCAGGGACCGAACCCGCUACCUCAUGGUUCCUAGUCGGAUUCGUUAACCACUGCGCCACGACGGGAACUCCAAAAUCUUUUAAAUUCUGAAGGGUUUUUGUUUGUUUGUUUGUUUGUUUUAUCUUUUGUCUUUUUAGGGCCUCACCCGCAGCAUGUGGAGGUUCCCAGGCUAGGGGAUGAAUCGAAGCUGUAGCCACUGGCCUGUGCCAAAGCCACAACACCACCAGACUGGAGCCAUAUCUGUGACCUAUACCACAGCCCACGCCAACGCUGGAUCCUUAAUCCACUGAGAAAAGCCAGGGAUCAAACCCGCAACCUCAUGGUUCCUAGUCAGAUUUGUUUCUGCUUCACCACAACAGGAACUCCAAGCACCGAAGUAUGUUUAAUAGGAAAGGCAGUCUUACAAAACUGGGUAACUCUUGACAUUACCAUGCCCCUCAAGGUGGUCCCUAAGCUAUAGAGCAACUGAAUGCUGUGUUUUACAUCAGCUAAACCAUCCAAUGUCACCUAUAAGCUAUAUGGAAAAGCAAAUAAGUGCUAUGAAUGACCCAAUGCCCAGUCUUGGAGAAAUACUAAAUAGCAUUAUGACAGUUUGAUGUCUGGAGAUGAUUAACUAGUCCUAUAAGAUCCCUCCUAAUGAAGGCCCAUGGAUUUCGCCUAUUUUGAACGCUGCCUAAGGCUCACUUCCCAGAUGGCCCCUUGUUGGUCAAGGGCAGCCAUAAACGCUCACACGACCCGCACAAGGCCACCUGCCCUCCCUCUAUGGGACCUGACUCUGGGAGUGAGUCUUUCCAGUCAUGAGGGAGCAGAUGUUGAGGCCAACAAACCAAGUCAUCGAUUACUGACACUUUCCAAGAGAGAGGCCUUGAUCAAACAGUGGAGAUAGGAACAGAAACUAAAACUAUGCUUGGUAUUGUUAAGAGAGUGCCCUAGAACGGAGCCGGGAGACCAUGAGGACGGAUGACUCUGGACUGAGCCCAGAGGAAAUGUUAUUAAUACAGCAUCCAGAAUAUUGGCCCAGUAUUCCAAAAGCUCCAGAUACUUAUCAAACCCUUACCCUAAAAUAACUCACAGCAGCCUAUCUCUUAAGGACAAAUAUUUUCUUUCAUGCAUCAAAGUCAAUCGUAAUUUCUGCCAGACAACUUUAAUAAUAUUGUUGUUUUUCACUUUAUUUUUAAAUUUUUUUAAUUUUUAAAAAUGUUUGUCUGUUUACGGCCACACCCACAACAUAUGGAAGUUCCCAGGCUAGGGGUCGAAUCAGAGCUAUAGCUGGCAGCCUACGCCACAGCCCCAGCAAAGCAGGAUCUGAGCCUCAUCCGUGACCUACACCACAGCUCGCAGCAAUGCCAUAUCCUUAACCCACUGAGCAAGGCCAGGGAUCAAACCUGCAACCUCAUGGAUCUUAGAUGGAUCACAGGGGAACUCUGGUUUUUCACUUUAUAAGCCCGGACCCUGUCUCUUCCUUGGAAUACUUUCGUUUUCACCCCAGCUUGUGUCUCCUGGACUGAAAUCCCUAAUAUUCCGAAUAAACUUUUUGGGUUUCUUUUUUCUUUCGGUGUUUUUGCCAUUUCUUGGGCCGCUCCUGCGGCAUAUGGAGGCUCCCAGGCUAGGGGCUGAAUCGGAGCUGUAGCCACUGGCCCACACCAGAGCCCCAGUGACGCGGGAUCUGACCUGCGUCUGCAACCUACAUCACAGCUCACAGCAACACCGGAUCCUUAACCCACUGAGCAAGGCCAGGAGUCGAACCCGCAACCUUAUGGUUGCUAGUUGGAUUCAUUAACCACUGAGCCACGAUGGGAACUCCAGCUCUUUGGGUUUCUGCAGCCUUGACAGUCCUAUUCAUGAGCAUCAGCACCAGAAUCCUCUCUCUCUGGCCUGACCCUGCACACCUGCCUCAUCCACACCCUCCACCUGUUCCCACCUCCUCCAGUAGUCACCAAAUGUGCAAUUUUCCAAAAAGCCAGAGGUUCUGUGAUUGUUCCUAGCCUGUGACUGUAUCCUGAUGCCAAAUCUUUCCUGCCUCUAUGUCUUCAUCUCUGCAGCAGCCCCAGCCCUCAUGCAACUCUUCUUCAAAGACGUAAUGUUCUCACCAAGGUCAUGUCUUGGGUGCUACUAGUGAUGCUGUUUGUGAAAUUUUAGCCUGAAAAUGAAACCUACAAUGAUGGAGAAGCAUAGAAUGCUCAAAGGGAAGUGUGAGGGAAGCUUAGGACUGGGUACCUCUUUCCCGACUGGGCCUCCAGGGGAAAAGCCUGCUCACCACUCACCCAGGCCAGCACUGCCGCCUCAUGAGUGAAGAGACACAUGGGGCUCCCAGGACUCAAGGCGAGAUCCUUGAAGCUCAAGGCUGGGUCCUCUCACCUGAGGUUCCGGAAGCUGCUCAUGCUCUGGGCAGCUCCUCCCCACGCUGCACACACUUGUCCCCCGCCCCCGCACACAUAACACUCUCGGCUCACACCCCCAAACCCAACUGCACAGGUGGCCGGAACCCAUCCUGUCCCCACCUCCCUUUCUCUUGGGGCCCCUGACACUGGCCUUAGCUACUCUUUUUCUGUCUUUCCAGGAAAAAGGGGAAUGACCAGAUCCACUCUUGUCCCCAACACUGUGACACCUGCUCUAGGCUGCCACUUCUUCGGGAAACUGCCCUGGCUGCGUCACCGGCAGCCUCGUCCUGAGACACCAGCUGGGCCCUGCUCGGUCUCUUCCCAGAUGUUGCUGCUUAUCAGCUUGCCUGGACAGGCUUCCAGCCACACUCACCAGCGACACACCGUCUGCUUCUGCCAGGACCUUCUCCAGCCACCCUCCGCUGCUCACGGCCCAGCCUCCUAGUGGUCCCCUAUGCAGGCGAGCUAGGGGCUCUCAUGCUGACCCCCAUGUAGAACCACACUCCUCUAGAACAGGCUGCACCUGCGCCAGCAGCAUAGCCUCACUGAGGGCAUGUUGGAGAUGCAGAGUCUUGGGUCCCACCCUGGACGUCCCGCUGCAGAAUCUGCUUCGUUAUGACCCCGGAGUGAGCCACCCCCAUAUCACAUUUAGGAUGUGCUUUGUGUAGCAGCACUGACCUCAGGCAGAGUAACAACACAGCGAUAUGCAUGGAGCACACAAAACUGAUCCAGAGGAUAAAUAAGAUCACUCGUGGACAGUGCCUGGGUCGCAGUAAGUGCAGUGAUAUUAUGGGUUUCUAAAAAGUGAAAACAAAUGGGAAUUACAACAUCUGCCUCAUAGGUUGCCACGAAGAUAAAACGACAGCCCUGUGAAAACCUAAGUACUGUAAAACGAGGCCCUCGUGAAAAUGUCAGCUCUCGUCCACUAGAGGGCAGAAGACACCACCAGAUACAGCUGAGCUCACUGACCUGCUGAGGGAGAAGCAGCCAGGCCAGCAGUCAGGGGUCACUCACCAGGCUUGGUCCCACUGCUGGAGUUAGACUGGAAUCGGCCUGAGGAAUCUUUCCAUUUGGUGCACAUUGUAAACAAUGAUUACUUUUAUUAGAGAGCCUGUUCUAGGCCUACAUCGAUCCCCCUCAGUUUCCAUCUUCAGCUCUGGACAUUCUCACCCACACUUAUGGCCUCGCCCCUGGUUACUUAAGAGUGGUCCACCCACCAGCCGACCAGCCACAGGAGCUUCACCUAGGGCUGCAGAAAGGCAGACUCUUGGGAGCUACCCUCAACUUAAAAGAAUCUGACAGACUCACUUGCAUUUCAAAGUCUGAGAAACAUAGCCUUAGCCACAGUGAGCUCUUGAGAUCCUCUAAAGGAGCCUGAGGUCUUCCCAGGUUGGAAACAAGCCCCCCACAACGUUAGACAAGCCUCUUAUUUACUCUUCACAUCUUCCCUUGACUCAUUAAUGAGGGAACCAGAAGAACGGUAAACCCAGCUCAAGGAGAACAGAAGAGACUGGCGAGUACACAGUCUACGGAAAAAAGAAUGUUGGAAUGAGACUGAAAAUUAAAUACAACACCUUUUUAUGCUAACAGAGCAAUAAAACAGGAGCCUCUGGAAUAA